GGCUUAAAGUGUGACAUAGUGGUUUGUGUGUUUGACUACAACUCUGGAGAUCAGGGAUCGAUUCCCAGUUUGGCUA